CCUACGGGAGGCAGCAGUGAGGAAUAUUGGUCAAUGGACGAGAGUCUGAACCAGCCAAGUAGCGUGAAGGAUGACUGCCCUAUGGGUUGUAAACUUCUUUUAUAUGGGAAUAAAAUGUUCCACGUGUGGGAUUUUGUAUGUACCAUAUGAAUAAGGAUCGGCUAACUCCGUGCCAGCAGCCGCGGUAAUCCGGAGGAUCCGAGCGUUAUCCGGAUUUAUUGGGUUUAAGGGGGGCGUAGGUGGAUUGUUAAGUCAGUUGUGAAAGUUUGCGGCUCAACCGUAAAAUUGCAGUUGAAACUGGCAGUCUUGAGUACAGUAGAGGUGGGCGGAAUUCGUGGUGUAGCGGUGAAAUGCUUAGAUAUCACGAAGAACUCCGAUUGCGAAGGCAGCUCACUGGACUGCAACUGACACUGAGGCUCGAAAGUGUGGGUAGCAAACAGGAUUAGAUACCCUUGUAGUC
rnacentral:rRNA from 1 species